rnacentral:rRNA from 1 species
GGUUAAGCGACUAAGCGUACACGGUGGAUGCCCUGGCAGUCAGAGGCGAUGAAGGACGUGCUAAUCUGCGAUAAGCGUCGGUAAGGUGAUAUGAACCGUUAUAACCGGCGAUUUCCGAAUGGGGAAACCCAGUGUGUUUCGACACACUAUCAUUAACUGAAUCCAUAGGUUAAUGAGGCGAACCGGGGGAACUGAAACAUCUAAGUACCCCGAGGAAAAGAAAUCAACCGAGAUUCCCCCAGUAGCGGCGAGCGAACGGGGAGGAGCCCAGAGCCUGAAUCAGUGUGUGUGUUAGUGGAAGCGUCUGGAAAGGCGCGCGAUACAGGGUGACAGCCCCGUACACAAAAAUGCACAUGCUGUGAGCUCGAUGAGUAGGGCGGGACACGUGGUAUCCUGUCUGAAUAUGGGGGGACCAUCCUCCAAGGCUAAAUACUCCUGACUGACCGAUAGUGAACCAGUACCGUGAGGGAAAGGCGAAAAGAACCCCGGCGAGGGGAGUGAAAAAGAACCUGAAACCGUGUACGUACAAGCAGUGGGAGCACGCUUAGGCGUGUGACUGCGUACCUUUUGUAUAAUGGGUCAGCGACUUAUAUUCUGUAGCAAGGUUAACCGAAUAGGGGAGCCGAAGGGAAACCGAGUCUUAACUGGGCGUUAAGUUGCAGGGUAUAGACCCGAAACCCGGUGAUCUAGCCAUGGGCAGGUUGAAGGUUGGGUAACACUAACUGGAGGACCGAACCGACUAAUGUUGAAAAAUUAGCGGAUGACUUGUGGCUGGGGGUGAAAGGCCAAUCAAACCGGGAGAUAGCUGGUUCUCCCCGAAAGCUAUUUAGGUAGCGCCUCGUGAAUUCAUCUCCGGGGGUAGAGCACUGUUUCGGCAAGGGGGUCAUCCCGACUUACCAACCCGAUGCAAACUGCGAAUACCGGAGAAUGUUAUCACGGGAGACACACGGCGGGUGCUAACGUCCGUCGUGAAGAGGGAAACAACCCAGACCGCCAGCUAAGGUCCCAAAGUCAUGGUUAAGUGGGAAACGAUGUGGGAAGGCCCAGACAGCCAGGAUGUUGGCUUAGAAGCAGCCAUCAUUUAAAGAAAGCGUAAUAGCUCACUGGUCGAGUCGGCCUGCGCGGAAGAUGUAACGGGGCUAAACCAUGCACCGAAGCUGCGGCAGCGACGCUGAUGCGUUGUUGGGUAGGGGAGCGUUCUGUAAGCCUGUGAAGGUGUGCUGUGAGGCAUGCUGGAGGUAUCAGAAGUGCGAAUGCUGACAUAAGUAACGAUAAAGCGGGUGAAAAGCCCGCUCGCCGGAAGACCAAGGGUUCCUGUCCAACGUUAAUCGGGGCAGGGUGAGUCGACCCCUAAGGCGAGGCCGAAAGGCGUAGUCGAUGGGAAACAGGUUAAUAUUCCUGUACUUGGUGUUACUGCGAAGGGGGGACGGAGAAGGCUAUGUUGGCCGGGCGACGGUUGUCCCGGUUUAAGCGUGUAGGCUGGUUUUCCAGGCAAAUCCGGAAAAUCAAGGCUGAGGCGUGAUGACGAGGCACUACGGUGCUGAAGCAACAAAUGCCCUGCUUCCAGGAAAAGCCUCUAAGCAUCAGGUAACAUCAAAUCGUACCCCAAACCGACACAGGUGGUCAGGUAGAGAAUACCAAGGCGCUUGAGAGAACUCGGGUGAAGGAACUAGGCAAAAUGGUGCCGUAACUUCGGGAGAAGGCACGCUGAUAUGUAGGUGAAGUCCCUCGCGGAUGGAGCUGAAAUCAGUCGAAGAUACCAGCUGGCUGCAACUGUUUAUUAAAAACACAGCACUGUGCAAACACGAAAGUGGACGUAUACGGUGUGACGCCUGCCCGGUGCCGGAAGGUUAAUUGAUGGGGUCAGCGCAAGCGAAGCUCUUGAUCGAAGCCCCGGUAAACGGCGGCCGUAACUAUAACGGUCCUAAGGUAGCGAAAUUCCUUGUCGGGUAAGUUCCGACCUGCACGAAUGGCGUAAUGAUGGCCAGGCUGUCUCCACCCGAGACUCAGUGAAAUUGAACUCGCUGUGAAGAUGCAGUGUACCCGCGGCAAGACGGAAAGACCCCGUGAACCUUUACUAUAGCUUGACACUGAACAUUGAGCCUUGAUGUGUAGGAUAGGUGGGAGGCUUAGAAGUGUGGACGCCAGUCUGCAUGGAGCCGACCUUGAAAUACCACCCUUUAAUGUUUGAUGUUCUAACGUUGACCCGUAAUCCGGGUUGCGGACAGUGUCUGGUGGGUAGUUUGACUGGGGCGGUCUCCUCCUAAAGAGUAACGGAGGAGCACGAAGGUUGGCUAAUCCUGGUCGGACAUCAGGAGGUUAGUGCAAUGGCAUAAGCCAGCUUGACUGCGAGCGUGACGGCGCGAGCAGGUGCGAAAGCAGGUCAUAGUGAUCCGGUGGUUCUGAAUGGAAGGGCCAUCGCUCAACGGAUAAAAGGUACUCCGGGGAUAACAGGCUGAUACCGCCCAAGAGUUCAUAUCGACGGCGGUGUUUGGCACCUCGAUGUCGGCUCAUCACAUCCUGGGGCUGAAGUAGGUCCCAAGGGUAUGGCUGUUCGCCAUUUAAAGUGGUACGCGAGCUGGGUUUAGAACGUCGUGAGACAGUUCGGUCCCUAUCUGCCGUGGGCGCUGGAGAACUGAGGGGGGCUGCUCCUAGUACGAGAGGACCGGAGUGGACGCAUCACUGGUGUUCGGGUUGUCAUGCCAAUGGCACUGCCCGGUAGCUAAAUGCGGAAGAGAUAAGUGCUGAAAGCAUCUAAGCACGAAACUUGCC